UACGUAGGGUGCAAGCGUUAAUCGGAAUUACUGGGCGUAAAGCGUGCGCAGGCGGUUUUGUAAGUCAGAUGUGAAAUCCCCGGGCUUAACCUGGGAACUGCGUUUGAAACUACAAGGCUAGAGUGUGGCAGAGGGGGGUGGAAUUCCACGUGUAGCAGUGAAAUGCGUAGAGAUGUGGAGGAACACCGAUGGCGAAGGCAGCCCCCUGGGUUAACACUGACGCUCAGGC
rnacentral:rRNA from 1 species